GAUGAACGCUAGCGGCAGGCCUAAUACAUGCAAGUCGAACGAAUCCAGUUCUUUCGGGAACUGGGUUAGUGGCGCACGGGUGCGUAACGCGUAUGCAACUACCUUCCACUGGGGGAUAGCCCGGGAAAACCCCGGAUUAAUACCGCAUAUGACCACAGGAGGGCAUCCGAGUGUGGUAAAAAGCUGAGGCGGUGGAAGAUGGGCAUGCGUGCCAUUAGCUAGUUGGCGGGGUAACGGCCCACCAAGGCGACGAUGGCGUAGGGGUUCUGAGAGGAUCGGUCCCCCACACUGGUACUGAGACACGGACCAGACUCCUACGGGAGGCAGCAGUAGGGAAUAGUUGGGCAAUGGCCGAGAGGCUCGACCCAGCCAUGCCGCGUGCAGGAAGAAGGCCUUCGUGGGUUAGUAAACUGUCUUUUAUCGUGGGAAAGAAACCGCCCUGCGGGGGUAACUGACGGUACCAGAUGAAUAAGCACCGGCUAACUCCGUG
rnacentral:rRNA from 1 species